rnacentral:lncRNA from 1 species
AUUAUUUUCACAGAAAUAAAGAAGUGUACAAUUAUUUAAUUCCCAAAGCCGUUAUACAAUGAUUUUCAAAUUUUCAUAUAACAUUUUGGAAGCAAACUUUACAAACAACUGACAUUGGCAAUUUUGUAAUAUGUCUUAUUUCAAACGUUUUGAUUGGUCUAACUGUUUGCUAUUUUGUAAUACCAAAGAUUUUCUCCUGCCCAGACCAUUGGUGUCAAAAAGUAUUUUUAGCCAAAAAAGUCAUUUACAACAUUUUGGAAGCCCAGCGACGAUAUAAUAGUCUUUCAAGAUGUCAUAAUUGUUUGGACUAAAUUACACAGUGCUUUCCAAAAAAUGAUUUGAAAUCAAUGUGGUUGUUGUCAGGAUGAACGCUGAGCGUAUAAUAUCAGACAAGAUAAAUGUUAUCCAUCAUUGUCCAUAAGCCAAAGAUUGAUAAAAAAAAAUUGAGCUUGAAGUUGAAAUUCUAAAACAAUAACUAAUCUGAUGUCUCAUAUCGUAUCACUAUCAUUCUGUGCUUUGUGACAAAAUAGAAAUAAUAUGACUAACCGCUUAUAUUUGGAAUUGUUACAGUGUCCAAAACAAAAUUAAUAAAACACAUGCAAUAUUUCAUUUUCAAUAUUUUGUGCAAAGAACGCUAUGAUUACUACACUGUGACCAAAUUUCAAAUGACAUAAUGCAGCCUGUGACGUCAAGUAUGAAUCGCUGUAAUUCGACGCAAUAUAGUUCGUUUGUUAUUUGCUUUUUUAUUGUAAAUAUUUUUAUUUUUUCGUAAUUACCGAUAAACAGAAUAAAGGACUUUUUGUUUUUGAUACUGAACUUUAUCACUGUGAAAUUUCAGGUUCGGGCUCACCUGAUAUAACACAGUGAUAAAGUCAGUAUCAAAAACAAAGAGUCCUUUAUUCUGUAUUUAUUGGCUUAUGCUUUGCA